UUAACCAUUAGUUUACUAUUGGAGCGGUUAGUGGCGGACUGGUGAGUAACACGUAAGCAACCUGCCUAUCAGAGGGGAACAACAGUUAGAAAUGACUGCUAAUACCGCAUAAUGUAUUCUGACCGCAUGAUCGGAAUACCAAAGAUUUAUCGCUGAUAGAUGGGCUCGCGUCCGAUUAGAUAGUUGGUGGGGUAACGGCCUACCAAGUCGACGAUCGGUAGCCGGACUGAGAGGUUGACCGGCCACAUUGGAACUGAGACACGGUCCAAACUCC
rnacentral:rRNA from 1 species